rnacentral:rRNA from 1 species
GGAAAGAUGAAAAGAACUUUGAAAAGAGAGUUAAACAGUACGUGAAAUUGUUGAAAGGGAAACGAUUGAAGUCAGUCGUGCUGGCGCGAAAUCAACCCUCUCGUCGAGAGGACACAUGGCGUGGCGAGCCUCAAAACCGUCACGAAGCGUGAACUCUUGGCGAAAAGGAGCACUUUCGUGUCCGCUGGUUAACAUCAAUUUCGAACGUCAUAAAAAGGCUGGAGGGAUGUGGCUCCUUCGGGAGUGUUAUAACCUUUAGCGGAAUGUGGUGGUCGGGAUUGAGGAUUGCAACGAAUACCUUCAGGGCUGUUCCACCUGGCUUCUCUUUGGCAUCCUGGUGACGACAGCUUGCUGACGUUGUUAGGAUUCGCCUUUGAACAGGCUAGAGUGUGAGCAAAUUCGUUAAGGAUGUUAACGUAAUGGCUUUAAACGACCCGUCUUGAAACACGGACCA